rnacentral:rRNA from 1 species
AGUGAACGCUGGCGGUAGGCCUAACACAUGCAAGUCGAACGGCAGCACAGUAAGAGCUUGCUCUUACGGGUGGCGAGUGGCGGACGGGUGAGGAAUACAUCGGAAUCUACUUUUUCGUGGGGGAUAACGUAGGGAAACUUACGCUAAUACCGCAUACGACCUACGGGUGAAAGCAGGGGAUCUUCGGACCUUGCGCGAUUGAAUGAGCCGAUGUCGGAUUAGCUAGUUGGCGGGGUAAAGGCCCACCAAGGCGACGAUCCGUAGCUGGUCUGAGAGGCUGUAGCGCGACAGGGGAGGUGAGCCGCCACCCUGGCACCUAGGGGAGGCACAAGUGGCGAAUGGUGGACAAUGGGGGGAAUCCUGAUCCAGCGGUACCAGGCGGGUGCAGAAGGCCUUCGGGUUGUAAAGCCGUUUUGUUGGGGAAGAACGGCUGCAGGUUAGUACCACGCUUGUGUGACGGUAGCCAGUAAAUAAGCACCGGCUAACUACGUG